rnacentral:rRNA from 1 species
UACGUAGGGGGCUAGCGUUGUCCGGAAUCAUUGGGCGUAAAGAGCGUGUAGGCGGUCCGGUAAGUCCGCUGUGAAAGUCGGGGGCUCAACCCUCGAAUGCCGGUGGAUACUGUCGGGCUAGAGUGCGGAAGAGGCGAGUGGAAUUCCUGGUGAUAGCGGUGAAAUGCGCAGAUAUCGAGGAGACCUCUGUCGCAAGGCAGCUCGCUGGGACGUAACUGACGCUGAGACGCGAAAGCGUGGGGAGCAAACAGG